UUCCGGUUGAUCCUGCCGGACCCGACUGCUAUCAGAGUGAGAUUAAGCCAUGCGAGUUAACGUAGCAAUACGUGGCGCACGGCUCAGUAACACGUAGUCAACAUGCCCAGAGGACGUGGAUAACCUCGGGAAACUGAGUCUAAACCGCGAUAAGUGAGGAUUUCUGGAAUGGUUCCUGACUAAAAUCUAUAUGGCCUCUGGAUUGGACUGCGGCCGAUCAGGCUGUUGGUGAGGUAACGGCCCACCAAACCUGUAACCGGUACGGGCUCUGAGAGGAGGAGCCCGGAGAUGGGCACUGAGACAAGGGCCCAGGCCCUAUGGGGCGCAGCAGGCGCGAAACCUCUGCAAUAGGCGAAAGCCUGACAGGGUUACUCUGAGUGACUUUCGCUAAGAAAGUCUUUUGGCACCUCUAAAAAGGGUGCAGAAUAAGGGGUGGGCAAGUCUGGUGUCAGCCGCCGCGGUAAUACCAGCACCCCGAGUGGUCGGGACGAUUAUUGGGCCUAAAGCAUCCGUAGCCGGUUCUGCAAGUCCCCCGUUAAAUCCAGCUGCUCAACAGAUGGGCCGCGGAGGAUACUACAGAGCUAGGAGGCAGGAGAGGCAAGCGGUACUCAGUGGGUAGGGGUAAAAUCCGUUGAUCCAUUGAAGACCACCAGUGGCGAAGGCGGCUUGCCAGAAUGCGCUCGACGGUGAGGGAUGAAAGCUGGGGGAGCAAACCGGAUUAGAUACCCGGGUAGUCCCAG
rnacentral:rRNA from 1 species